rnacentral:rRNA from 1 species
AUUGAACGCUGGCGGCAUGCCUUACACAUGCAAGUCGAACGGCAGCACGGGUGCUUGCCCCUGGUGGCGAGUGGCGAACGGGUGAGUAAUACAUCGGAACAUGUCCUGUAGUGGGGGAUAGCCCGGCGAAAGCCGGAUUAAUACCGCAUACGAUCUACGGAUGAAAGCGGGGGACCUUCGGGCCUCGCGCUAUAGGGUUGGCCGAUGGCUGAUUAGCUAGUUGGUGGGGUAAAGGCCUACCAAGGCGACGAUCAGUAGCUGGUCUGAGAGGACGACCAGCCACACUGGGCCUGAGACACGCCCCGACUUCUUACGGAAGGCAGCGUUGGGAAUUUUUGACCAAUGGGCGAAGGCCUAUUCCAGCAAGGCGGGGUGGGUGAAGAAGGCCUUCGGGUGGUAAAGCCCUUUUGUCGGGAAAGAAAUCCUUGGCCCUAAUCCGGUCGGGGAAUAACGGUACCGGAAGAAUAGGCACCGGCUAACUACGU